rnacentral:misc_RNA from 1 species
GCACCAUAACAAUUUUGAAGGUACCAUACCUCCAUCUUUUGCUUCUUUGAGAAGUCUUGAAAAAAUUGAUCUAUCUCACAACAAUUUCUCUGGUGAGAUUCCAAAAUAUCUAGAGAAAUUUAGAUUGGAAUAUAUCAAUUUGUCAUUCAAUAAUUUUGAAGGUGAGGUUCCCAUCAAAGGAGUUUUUGCAAACUUUAGUGCAAUAUCAAUUGUAGGAAA